AUUGAACGCUGGCGGCAUGCCUUACACAUGCAAGUCGAACGGUAACAGGCCGCAAGGUGCUGACGAGUGGCGAACGGGUGAGUAAUACAUCGGAACGUGCCCGAGAGUGGGGGAUAACGAGGCGAAAGCUUUGCUAAUACCGCAUACGAUCUCAGGAUGAAAGCAGGGGACCGCAAGGCCUUGCGCUCCCGGAGCGGCCGAUGGCAGAUUAGGUAGUUGGUGGGAUAAAAGCCUACCAAGCCGACGAUCUGUAGCUGGUCUGAGAGGACGACCAGCCACGCGGGGACUUAGACACGGCCCAGACUCCUACGGGAGGCAGCAGUGGGGAAUUUUGGACAAUGGGCGAAAGCCUGAUCCAGCAAUGCCGCGUGCAGGAAGAAGGCCUUCGGGUUGUAAACUGCUUUUGUACGGAGCGAAAAGGUCCUUUCUAAUACAAGGGGCUUAUGACGGUACCGUAAGAAUAAGCACCGGCUAACUACGUGCCAGCCGCCGCCGUAAGAC
rnacentral:rRNA from 1 species